rnacentral:rRNA from 1 species
GACGAACGCUGGCGGCGUGCUUAACACAUGCAAGUCGAACGAAGUGGCGAACGGGUGAGUAACGCGUAAUCAACCUGCCCUUCAGAGGGGGACAACAGUGGGAAACGACUGCUAAUACCGCAUACUCAAGGAGGGGAUUGCGUCUGCUUAGCUAGUUGGAGGGGUAACGGCCCACCAAGGCGGAGAGCAGUAGCCGGGCUGGGAGGAGGGACGGGCAAAAUGGGAAUGGGGCACGGGCCAGACUCCCACGGGAGGCAGCAGGGGGGAAUUUUCCGAAAUGGACGAAAGGCUGACGGAGCAACGCCGCGGGAGUGAUGACGGCCUUCGGGUUGGAAAGCUAUGUUAAGCGGGACGCGGUACCGGAAGAGAAAGCCACGGCUAACUACGUGCCAGCAGCCGCGGUAAUUC